AUGUGGACUUGUCUUCGUCAGCGCUAUGAGCCCUCUGGUGAUGCCUUAUACCUUUCUGUGGUUCGUCAGGAGCAUGCUCUUCAGCAGGGUGACUCUACUGUUGAUGACUUUUAUGCACAGAGUUCUGCUAUCUGGCGCCAGCUUGAUUCUCUCCGCAGUGCUGGUUGUCGUACUUGCCCCUGCUGCCAGGCUGUCCAGGACAAUUUGGAGUUUCAUCGCGUCUACGAGUUCCUGUCUCGGCUCCGUAAGGAGUUUGAGCCCCGGCGUGCUCAGUUGUUUGCUCGUGGCCGUAUUUCUCUCAUGGAGGCGCUUUCAGAGAUUCGUGCUGAGGAGACUCGCUUACGUGGUGCUAGUUUGCUGGAGGUUCCCUCUGUGCUCGCUACUCGGGCUUCUUCCACUCCACCUGCUGCACCGACCCAUUCUCGCUCGAGUGCUCCGCCGCUCUUGCCCACUCCUUCUGGAGGCUCAGGUCGCCCCCGUCCACAUUGUGACUACUGCAACAAUGAUGGUCAUAUUGAGUCCCAGUGCUACACAAAGCGGAAACACCUGCGCAAGGCGCGAUCAUCCUCCUCAGGGACUUCGUCA
rnacentral:rRNA from 1 species